UCGGAUAUGGUGUAACGGCUAACAUUAGCGCCUCUCAUGACGGGAUCGCUUCUUUCUGCGCGCUAGCUCGGGGUUCGAUUCCCCGUAUCCGAA